rnacentral:rRNA from 1 species
GGCGCACGGGUGAGUAACACGUAUCCAACCUGCCGUCUACUCUUGGCCAGCCUUCUGAAAGGAAGAUUAAUCCAGGAUGGCAUCAUGAGUUCACAUGUCCGCAUGAUUAAAGGUAUUUUCCGGUAGACGAUGGGGAUGCGUUCCAUUAGAUAGUAGGCGGGGUAACGGCCCACCUAGUCAACGAUGGAUAGGGGUUCUGAGAGGAAGGUCCCCCACAUUGGAACUGAGACACGGUCCAAACUCCUACGGGAGGCAGCAGUGAGGAAUAUUGGUCAAUGGGCGAUGGCCUGAACCAGCCAAGUAGCGUGAAGGAUGACUGCCCUAUGGGUUGUAAACUUCUUUUAUAAAGGAAUAAAGUCGGGUAUGCAUACCCGUUUGCAUGUACUUUAUGAAUAAGGAUCGGCUAACUCCGUGCCAGCAGCCGCGGUAAUACGGAGGAUCCGAGCGUUAUCCGGAUUUAUUGGGUUUAAAGGGAGCGUAGAUGGAUGUUUAAGUCAGUUGUGAAAGUUUGCGGCUCAACCGUAAAAUUGCAGUUGAUACUGGAUGUCUUGAGUGCAGUUGAGGCAGGCGGAAUUCGUGGUGUAGCGGUGAAAUGCUUAGAUAUCACGAAGAACUCCGAUUG